GCGGCUAUCAUGCAGUCGUACGCUUUUUCUUUCACCGGAGCUUGCUCCACCGAAAGAAAAGGAGUGGCGAACGGGUGAGUAACACGUGGGUAACCUGCCCAUCAGAAGGGGAUAACACUUGGAAACAGGUGCUAAUACCGUAUAACAAUCGAAACCGCAUGGUUUUGAUUUGAAAGGCGCUUUCGGGUGUCGCUGAUGGAUGGACCCGCGGUGCAUUAGCUAGUUGGUGAGGUAACGGCUCACCAAGGCCACGAUGCAUAGCCGACCUGAGAGGGUGAUCGGCCACAUUGGGACUGAGACACGGCCCAAACUCCUACGGGAGGCAGCAGUAGGGAAUCUUCGGCAAUGGACGAAAGUCUGACCGAGCAACGCCGCGUGAGUGAAGAAGGUUUUCGGAUCGUAAAACUCUGUUGUUAGAGAAGAACAAGGAUGAGAGUAACUGUUCAUCCCUUGACGGUAUCUAACCAGAAAGCCACGGCUAACUACGUGCCAGCAGCCGCGGUAAUACGUAGGUGGCAAGCGUUGUCCGGAUUUAUUGGGCGUAAAGCGAGCGCAGGCGGUUUCUUAAGUCUGAUGUGAAAGCCCCCGGCUCAACCGGGGAGGGUCAUUGGAAACUGGGAGACUUGAGUGCAGAAGAGGAGAGUGGAAUUCCAUGUGUAGCGGUGAAAUGCGUAGAUAUAUGGAGGAACACCAGUGGCGAAGGCGACUCUCUGGUCUGUAACUGACGCUGAGGCUCGAAAGCGUGGGGAGCAAACAGGAUUAGAUACCCUGGUAGUCCACGCCGUAAACGAUGAGUGCUAAGUGUUGGAGGGUUUCCGCCCUUCAGUGCUGCAGCUAACGCAUUAAGCACUCCGCCUGGGGAGUACGACCGCAAGGUUGAAACUCAAAGGAAUUGACGGGGGCCCGCACAAGCGGUGGAGCAUGUGGUUAAUUCGAAGCACGCGAAGAACCUUACAGGUCUUGACUUCCUUUACCCCUCUAAAAUAGCUCCCUUCGGGGCAAAGUGAAGGGGGCAUGGUUGUCUCCUCGUGUCGUGAAAUUUGGGUUAAUCCCCAACAGCGCAACCUUUUGU
rnacentral:rRNA from 1 species